rnacentral:rRNA from 1 species
CAGCCGCCGCGGUAAUACGUAGGGUGCGAGCGUUAAUCGGAUUUACUGGGCGUAAAGCGUGCGCAGGCGGCCCGUUAAGACAGGUGUGAAAUCCCUGGGCUCAACCUAGGAAUUGCGCUUGUGACUGGCGGGCUCGAGUACGGUAGAGGGGGGUGGAAUUCCUGGUGUAGCAGUGAAAUGCGUAGGAAUCAGGAGGAACACCGAUGGCGAAGGCAGCCCCCUGGGCCUGUACUGACGCUCAUGCACGAAAGCGUGGGGAGCAAACAGGAUUAGAUACCCGGGUAGUCCACGCCCUAAACGAUGGGUACUAGCCGUUUGGUGCGCGAUAGCGCUGAGUGGCGAAGCUAACGCGUGAAGUACCCCGCCUGGGGAGUACGGCCGCAAGGUUGAAACUUAAAGGAAUUGGCGGG